GUGACAUGUUAGGACUCUAAUGAGUUUAAGACCUAUUGAGCCUCUUAAGUGAGGCCGCCAGCAACCUUUUUUUUCUCUACAUUUUAAAAAAAAAACUAAAAUUCUACCCUUAUCGGUGGAUCACUAGGCUCGUGGAUCGAUGAAGAACGCAGCAAACUGCGAUAAUUAUUGCGAACUGCAGAAGUAUUGAGCACAAAAGUUUUGAACGCAAAUGGCCGCAUUGAGGUCAAACUCUUUGCAACGUCUGGUUCAGGGUCAU
rnacentral:rRNA from 1 species